GAUGAACGCUGGCGGCGUGCCUAAUACAUGCAAGUCGAGCGAACGGACGAGAAGCUUGCUUCUCUGAUGUUAGCGGCGGACGGGUGAGUAACACGUGGAUAACCUACCUAUAAGACUGGGAUAACUUCGGGAAACCGGAGCUAAUACCGGAUGAUAUUUUGAACCGCAUGGUUCAAAAGUGAAAGACGGUCUUGCUGUCACUUAUAGAUGGAUCCGCGCUGCAUUAGCUAGUUGGUAAGGUAACGGCUUACCAAGGCAACGAUGCAUAGCCGACCUGAGAGGGUGAUCGGCCACACUGGAACUGAGACACGGUCCAGACUCCUACGGGAGGCAGCAGUAGGGAAUCUUCCGCAAUGGGCGAAAGCCUGACGGAGCAACGCCGCGUGAGUGAUGAAGGUCUUCGGAUCGUAAAACUCUGUUAUUAGGGAAGAACAUAUGUGUAAGUAACUGUGCACAUCUGGACGGUACCUAAGCAGAAAGCCACGGCUAACUACGU
rnacentral:rRNA from 1 species